ACUUCAGCAUAUGAACUGGGGAGGAACAAAAAUAGUAUAUAAUAUAUUUCUAGGAAAUCUUUCCCAAUGAGUCCAGAUUCAUCUAGUAAUAACACAAACUAUGCAAUGAUAAAGUACUGAUCUGAAGUGAAGAAAAAAGAUCCUCUUUUCAGAGUUCAAGCUCAAUCAAUACUAAAGAGCCUAGCAAAUGACCCCCACCCCUUGGAGAACAGUGACAUGAUACUUGAAGCUGCUAGGAGAUGAGCAGCUUUCCUCUACCAGCCCCAUCCACCAUGCAUUUCUUCCUUGGAGCCACUGAUUUCAGACUGAAGCUGCUGGAAACUUUGGCACUCACUGCUCUGGAUUCCAGUGAUUCAUUUUUAUGAAAACAACAGUGGAUGCGGUGGUGCAGUGUCACAGGACUGUAACCCCAGCUACUUCCAGAGGCUGAAGCAGGAGGAUCUCAAAUUCCAGGCCAGUCUGGGCAACUUAGCAAGACC
ensembl:lncRNA